UACGUAGGUGGCAAGCGUUGUCCGGAAUUAUUGGGCGUAAAGCGCGCGCAGGCGGUCCUUUAAGUCUGAUGUGAAAGCCCACGGCUCAACCGAGGAGGGUCAUUGGAAACUGGAGGACUUGAGUGCAGAAGAGGAAAGUGGAAUUCCAAGUGUAGCGGUGAAAUGCGUAGAGAUUUGGAGGAACACCAGUGGCGAAGGCGACUUUCUGGUCUGUAACUGACGCUGAGGCGCGAAAGCGUGGGGAGCAAACAGG
rnacentral:rRNA from 1 species